UAGUGAUAUUAGAUGCCAUUUCUAUAGUUUCUGACUUGAGAAAUGUGUUUCUAAAGUGUUUGGUCUCGCCAUCCACGACAACAAGUUUUGAUAUUCUCUUCUGGGCAUUAAGUAAUGGUUUGUCUCAUAAGGUCUCUGUCAUUGGUGACCAUUCUUUACUUCUUCCAGGAGUAAUGAAAUAAUGAAGGAGGGAAUAUGAUCAGAGUGGU